UAAAAUAUAUAUUGCUUGGAGCUUGUUACCUUCAUGACCUCGUAUUUGGUUACCACAUAGGAUCUAGUUUGCUUUCCCUAUCGAUUGGUCUUAUCAGCUUCCUUUAUUUGCGAUGUCGGUGAGGAGUUUGAGCUGGCUUGCCACCUGUUGUAUUUAUGUGUGAAAAUUGUAUAUAGAAAAAUAUACAAUACUGAAAUGUCAGGUACUCUUCAUGGGCUCACAAUGUACAAGUGUUCUAACUAUGUCUUCCAAAUUACGUUAUCAAAGCUCUCUGUGCUCAUCUCUUGUAAAUAAGAAGCUUGUAAUCAUUUCUCGGAGGAUGUAUGUGGGUAUAUGGGACACAAUCUCGGAUUUACCAUGUAAUUUCUCUUAGCAAUGCUUUGAUGGAUUGAUUCCGAUUCUUUUUCGCUCUGCAGUUCCUUUCUUUCCAAGUUACCAUAUCAUAGUUGGGGUGAAAUGUUCCAUAGUUUAUCACGAAAGUUGCUGGGAAUUUCUUUUGGGACCAGUGUGCUGUAAGGCUCUGGAUGUUGCUGCUGAUUAUUGUGACUGUGUUGAACUUCCACAACACGGUUCUGGCUCUUCCUUCCUGUUUUGCAUGAGUAGCAUAUGUACUCAUUUGGAGUGCCUAUCUUUGCAUUCUACCAUAUGUGAGUAGCCUCUAUUGGUAUGCUAACCAACUGAAGCAAGAGUCUCUAGGAUGGAUUAGGCUUUUCCAUAAUGCUUCUAUAACCUCAUUUCACUUAUCACUUCAUGGAAACUCCUGAGAGCAAAGUAUCUAUCUUGAGAGGGGAUCCAGCUGAUUUCUUUCACCCGAUCAUGGCACAAUGGUCUACAAGAAUGCUUUUUGAUGACUAAUAGCAUGCUAUGUAUGUGAUGAUCUGCAAAGUGCGUCAAAGUGGAGCCAGUGAAGGCUAUCAUAUGCGGGAGAAGCGGAUUCCAUCAAACGCACACAUCUAUUUGGAGGAUGUGAACCCUAGGAGCUACUAAGAAGAAUAAGAAGAACAAGCUUUAAUACGUUUUGAUGCAGAAUUUCAGAUCGGGAUACUAAGUUUCCGAAUCAUUUUUUAGGAACCUUGUUGAAGAAAUUCGGCACUCGAUUACAAUGUAGUAGUGCAUUUCACCCACAGAUAGAUGGGCAACUUGAAGCGGUGAAUCAUUGCUUCACUACAUGUUCGGGAUUCUUAGUCUGCCUCAUAGUUGUUCGGAUCGGGAGUGGGAACAGUACCAGGAUCGAGAGCGUGAGAGAGGGACCGUGAAAUUCUAGAAGAUCCCUAUGGUUGGGAAUGCCACGCGUACAAUGCACAUGGUUGGGAUCGAGAUUCCCAAAUGUUAGGGAUCGAGAUUCCAACCUUUUGGAGAUCUUGAUCCCAACUUUUGGGAUCUUGAUCCCAACUUUUUGGGGAUGUUGUUACCAACCGUAAAGUGUAUUAUAAUUUAGUAUUAUGUAUACUCUUUAAAGUAGGGAUCUUAUUAUUGAUAGCAAGCAAACAAUAAUUGUGUUGCUAGUUGGCUACAAACAAAGAAAAAAAAAAUCAAUUUGGUUGUUGUCUUGGUCUUUAAGAAUGGGAUCAAGAACCCUAAUAGUAGGAAUCGGGAUCCCUAUGAGUGGGGUUCGAGAUCCAUAAAUUUUAAAAU
rnacentral:lncRNA from 1 species